AGUGAACGCUGGCGGUAGGCCUAACACAUGCAAGUCGAACGGCAGCACAGUAAGAGCUUGCUCUUACGGGUGGCGAGUGGCGGACGGGUGAGGAAUACAUCGGAAUCUACUUUUUCGUGGGGGAUAACGUAGGGAAACUUACGCUAAUACCGCAUACGACCUACGGGUGAAAGCAGUGGAUCUUCGGACCUUGCGCGAUUGAAUGAGCCGAUGUCGGAUUAGCUAGUUGGCGGGGUAAAGGCCCACCAAGGCGACGAUCCGUAGCUGGUCUGAGAGGAUGAUCAGCCACACUGGAACUGAGACACGGUCCAGACUCCUACGGGAGGCAGCAGUGGGGAAUAUUGGACAAUGGGCGAAAGCCUGAUCCAGCAAUACCGCGUGGGUGAAGAAGGCCUUCGGGUUGUAAAGCCCUUUUGUUGGGAAAGAAAAGCAGCAGGUUAAUACCCCACUGUUCUGACGGUACCCAAAGAAUAAGCACCGGCUAACUUCGUG
rnacentral:rRNA from 1 species